rnacentral:rRNA from 1 species
UACGGAGGGUGCGAGCGUUGUCCGGAAUCACUGGGCGUAAAGGGCGCGUAGGUGGCCUGUGGAAGUCUGCGGUGAAAGCCCGGCGCUCAACGCCGGGUCGGCCGUGGAUACUCUCGGGCUUGAGCUUACUAGAGGCAGAUGGAAUUCCGGGUGUAGCGGUGGAAUGCGUAGAGAUCCGGAAGAACACCGGUGGCGAGGGCGGUCUGCUGGGGUAAUGCUGACACUGAGGCGCGACAGCGUGGGGAGCAAACAGG